UUGUGAACCUGCGGAAGGAUCAUUG
rnacentral:rRNA from 2 species